GCGGGCGUAGCUCAGCGGUAGAGCAUCAGCUUCCCAAGCUGAGGGUCGCGGGUUCGACCCCCGUCGCCCGCU
rnacentral:tRNA from 1 species